rnacentral:misc_RNA from 1 species
GAACUGCUCCAGGAGGACCAGAAUGUAAAGCGUAAGAGAGAGCGUUAUCAGAAGCAGUCUUCUCUUCUUUCAAAACUAGUACGGCAACUAAGCAUCCAUGACAAUCGAGCAGCAGCUGCAUCCAGCUGGUCCAAUGAUGGUGGUGCUGAAAGUAGUCCAAGAACAAGCGGACGUGCAGGAGGGGAGGACUGGAGGACUGCAUUUGAUGCUGCAGCUAAUGGCCGUGCUGACCCAUUGAGGUCUCACAGUAGACGGAACAGUGAUCCACCUCAAAAUGGUGAUGCAAGCUCAGGCACAAACAGCAGCCGCCGCACACCCACUCGGAUGCCACCAGCACCGCCACCAUCAGGCUCGUCCUAUAGAUAUUAGAUAAAAAGGUUUGAUACCCAAUUGAUAAUUCAUGCAUUCUUGUUGGAUGGGAGUAGCUUUUCAUCUCACUCCAGGUGGAGCAUUUCUCAACCUCACAUCCAUGCCAUAUUAGCUUUUGUAGAAGUGUUAUAGGUUUGUAGAUAUAUAGAGUUGCGCUUACAUGUGGUUGAUUUUGAUAUGUAUCAAUGUUCAUUAAAAUUUUUUCCCCAUUUUCCAUUUUGUUGUUGACAAGUCCAUCGCCC